ensembl:lncRNA
AAUAUAAACAAGUUCAUUUAAAUGCACAUUUAGUUAAGUAAACUAUUAAUAGUACAUUAAAACCUUCUGCGUAGUUUCCCUAUGUUAGGAUUCCAGAUGUUCCACGUUUCUUGCUGGCGUCUGGAAAACCCCUGCUUUAUAGCUGUGGCAGUGGCUCCAUUGUUAUCAGAAGCAGUUUAUCUGCUCUGUAUUUGUGAAGGGAUGUCUGGCCGCAUCUGCCUCUGUUUUGCUGAGUGUGUUUGGGGUUUCCCCAGUAACAGUAAUGUUUGCUUUUUUAUUGCAGGAUUUUUUUUUCACCAAGUACACAUAAUAACACAUCAGUUAUUUCAUUAUUAGUACUGGAGCUCUAAGUUGAAAAGGGAAAUGUUGAACUAUUGAGACACUUACGAGUAAAUACUACUAAUGAUAGUACUUAAUAAUAAUAAUAAUAAUAAAGAUUGAAGGUCUGAAAUUGUUUGCAGUUUCAGGAUGUUUAACUGGGUGGUAAAAGUGGUUCCCCAUCCCCCUGGAGAGCUAGAAGAAGAGGAUGCUCCUGCCGCCAAUGGCUCAUCAUCAAAAGAAGCAAAGACAAGAUCAGUGACAUCCAAUGAUGGAGAUCAUAACUCGGUGGACAGCGGGUGUGUGCUCCUUCUGGACUCUGUUUCUUCAGUUGAACGAGGCUCUUAUUCAUGCUGCAGUAGAUUCAGAUUUUUUCUCUUCCCCCCGUCUCUCUGUGCGACUCUCUGCUUCUCAGUGGCCAGACUGGGAUGUUGACUUGGCUGUCGAGUGCUCUGCCUCAGCCUGCUGGGCACCCUGACGCAAAGUCGAUUCAGGACGAAGGCUUAGAAUCCAGGCAAGGAGGCGGGGUGAUUGGCUGGAUCUCCCAAGGCCUGGGCAAAGUGGUCCCCCAGCCAGACGAUAAGUACAAAAAAGAUGAUCAUCCUCCAGAGGAUGUGACAGAGAUUUAUGAUGCAAAAGAACUGCCAGAUGCUGAGCUACUGCCACACAUACCAGUGGUGGAGCUCUUUUCAGAGGAAGAGUCGGAAGUUGAAAGCAUCCCUUCUCACUUCCCUCCCAGUGUCCUUGACUGGAUUAAGAACAGUGUUGAGAAUGCCAUUCCCCAACAUCGGCCACCAGGCUACAUUGAGACGCCACCGAGGAGGAUGACCCCGAGCUCAGAAAAAGGUACAGACCCACCCCUGCUGAGUUACAGGCCACAUGACAUGAGUUGCUUUAGUGGUCAUAUUAUUGCACAUCUCUGUUCAUGUAAACGCUCUUCUUCUCCCACAUAGUUUAUUCGCCCCCACCCGAGUCUUUAACCAGUACCCUCGAUGAGGAGUUAAAGAGUUCUACGUGAGUGUCACCUGCACAGAGAACACAGACUUGCUGUGUCCGCAUGUGUUUGCUGAAAAAUGCCUAACAUUGAAUAAUUCUUCUUAUCCAGAAUGGUGGGCUGGAUUGUUCAGGGUCUGGGCCGCAUGAUGCCGCAGCCAGUUUACAGAAUGAAAGAGAUUCAAGAAGUGAGUAGGUCAUAUCAGUACAGAUGUAGUAUGCAUCAAAGCAUCAUUUAAC